rnacentral:rRNA from 1 species
AUGGUGAACCUGGUGGAGGCGCAGAAGCCGCUGCUCCACUUCCUGAUCAAGUGGGCCGGCCUCCGGCAGCACACCGUCGACGUGGACGGCGCCGGCACGGUGCUCACCUUCUGGGUGCCCAAGGACAAGGUGCCCGGGAACAGCUCCACCGUCACGCCCGAGGAGAAGCAGAGCGAGACGAAAGCCAACUCCCGGCGGCCAUCCGUGGUGCUCGUGCACGGCUUCGCGGCCGAAGGCAUUGUCACCUGGCAGUUCCAGGUUGGUGCGCUGGCGAAGCACUACGACGUGUACAUCCCGGACCUGCUCUACUUCGGCGGCUCCACGUCGCCGUCGACGGACCGGUCGCCGGGGUUCCAGGCCGAGUGCCUGGCCGCCGCGCUCGGGAAGCUGGGCGUGGACGAGUGCACGGUGGUGGGGUUCAGCUACGGCGGGAUGGUGGCCUUCAAGAUGGCCGAGUCGCGCCCCGACCUCGUCCGCUCGCUCGUCGUGUCGGGCUCCGUCGUCGCCAUGACCGACUCCAUCAGCGACGCCACGCUCGAGCGGAUCGGCGUCCGGUCGUCGGCGGAGCUGCUGCUGCCGGAGUCCGUCAAGGGGCUCAAGGCUCUGCUCUCCAUCGCCGCCCACCGGAGGCUCUGGUUCCCGGAACGCCUUCACAGGGACUUCCUCGAGGUGAUGUUCACCAACCGCAAGGAAAGGGCGGAGCUGCUGGAAGGUCUGGUGGUCAGCAACAAAGACGCCACCGUCCCCGUUUUGCCGCAGAAAAUACUCCUGCUCUGGGGACACAACGACAACAUCUUCAACAUAGAGCUCGCCAAGACGAUGAAAGAGCAGCUCGGGGAGAAGACGAUGCUGCAGAGCAUAGACAAGGCCGGACAUCUCGUGCACCUGGAGAGGCCCUGCGUUUACAACCAGCACCUCAUGGAGUUCUUGGCAUACGCCACUGCUGAAGCUUCCAAGGAGUCUGCAAAUUAA